AACGAACGCUGGCGGCAUGCCUAACACAUGCAAGUCGAACGAUUGCCUUAGGGUGUUAGUGGCGCACGGGUGCGUACCGAGUGGGAAUCUGCCCUUAGGUUCGGAAUAACAGCUGGAAACGGCUGCUAAUACCGGAUGAUAUAGCGAGAUCAAAGAUUUAUCGCCUGAGGAUGCGCCCGCGUUGGAUUAGGUAGUUGGUGGGGUUAGGGCAUACCAAGCCGCGGUACCAUAGCUGGUAUGAGAGGAUGAGCCGCCACACUGGGACUGAGACACGGCCCAGACUCCUACGGGAGGCAGCAGUGGGGAAUAUUGGACAAUGGGCGCAAGCCUGAUCCAGCAAUGCCGCGUGAGUGAUGAAGGCCCUAGGGUUGAAAAGCUCUUUUACCCGGGAAGAUAAUGACGGUACCGGGAGAAUAAGCCCCGGCUAACUCCGUG
rnacentral:rRNA from 1 species